GUCUGUUCUAUAAUGCCUCAAUUCGGUAUUGGUAAACACCUGUUUGAACAUGGCCUCGAAACGGCAACAGGAGUCGGGAGCGGAGAAAAGAAAGAAGAAGAGGAAGCGUGAUGAAACUCAGGCGUCGCUUGCCGGGUCAAUGCUUAAAUAUGUUCAAGGAGGAUCUCAAGGACAGGAUGAACCAUCCAGUAGUAGUGCCAUCCCUGGACAUCAACCACCAGCCAUUGUAGACCCUGCAACAAUCCCUAGCCAAGAAGAACAAGAACCAUCAACCACCAGUUCAGAAGGCGACUCCUUUCCUUUCCUGCCCGCCCUCCUGAUGAGGCACACCUGGCAACUCUUGGUUAACUAACUCACCUGUGGCUCAUGCUGUAAUUGACAGCUGCUUUGAAGGAUGAAACUUUCCCUCUGUUGUUGGCAGAUCAUUGUGUCAGCAAGUGACUGUUUCCAGAAGGGACUGCUUCCAGGCUGGAGUGGAAUUACUAGUUCUGGGGAAAUCGAAGCUUUGUGAAACACUCAAACCUUUGAAGCAUUUGUGCCACAACUGUAUCAAGGCUUCAAAACCAUCUGAAACCCAUCUCCACAGUGACAUCUGCUGGCUAGUUUGGCUAUCACUACAUCUUGAUAAUGCUUUCUGUGAAACAGUGAUGCAGACAAUAAUUGUGAUCACAUGUUACAACCAAGGAAAGGAAAAUAAUGAGACUGUUAACUGUAAUGAUAACUGUGCUAUCAUCUAGUGUUGCUCACAAUAAAUCAAUGUAUGAAGUAAACUGUCCAGAGAAAAAAAACUGCUGUGUUUACUUUACUAACCACACAGCUGUGUUUGGCCUAAGUCAGCUUCGUUUUUCGAUCACAGCACUGAAACUUUGGAUGCUGGACUUACAUUUUCUGGGAGUUUGUGUCAUCAGGUUUGUUCUACACACUGUCAAGCAAAGCUAGAAGCUGGCAUAGCUUUAGGUUUGAUUUGUAAUCAGCCUAAAAACCAUGAAGAAACUUUCCUGAACUUGACACUGGUGUAACACUUGCAUGAUGUUUUACUGUGAGUCUGGAGUUUUGGUCAUAGUGAACCUGCAUAACUCCUGUUGUUUUUGCGAUAUUAACAAUAGAAGCAUAGGUGGG
ensembl:lncRNA